GAGAGCGGGAGCUGCGGGGGCAGGACCCGAACCCGCCGCAGCCCCGGCUCGCGUUCUGCUCCACACCGAGACUCCCGAGAAUUCCCGGGAAGGCGGCGAGGGCAGGAGAGCAUCCCCAGCUCCCCCUGCCCUCCCCGCAGUGCCCGGAGGAGCAGAACAUCCCCGUUCCCCCUUGCCGGGGAGCCCAGAGCGAUGCUUUAUCGCGCCGCUGCGAGAGCCAGACGGAAAGGUUGCGGCAAAGAUUUCAACCCUGAAUACCCUUUCCCUAGCUUGGAAGGCACAGUGUGAGCUCAGAGAGGGAAGCUCAGCUCCAGGGAUUGCUCUUUGCCCGCUCUUGCACUUGUGCUUUAGCCUGGAGGAACUUUUCUCAGCCUUCAGAUAACGUGAACCACAAAGCCUUGCUGGGAUCCCACUGCAAACUCCUCCGCACACCUCUGGUUACAAAGAAAAGAGUGUUCUGCAUGGGGUAUGGCAGGGGUUAGUGGGCAAUUCACCUCAAAGCUGUGCCAAGGAAACGGAAUGUUUGGGGUUGGAGAACUGUUUGAGUGUCCAGGCAAUUCUUCCAGAGCCUGCUCAUGACAGAAGGGGCAGCCCAGUCAGGGAUAGCCUCCAAUGGGGAGAAGGAGAGCAGCUGGAUUCCCACCCUGAGCUCAUGCACAGCCUGGCACAGGGCUGGGACCAGGCUGUUGGU
rnacentral:lncRNA from 1 species